CAACGAACAAAUAGGGACGUAGGUCCUGGAGGGCUCUAAUCCCCCUUCAAUAAAAGCCAUUUCCACACGGCAUUUUUAUAAUGUUUUAGAAACCAAGUAAUCGGUUUUUAAACAUGCCAUUUUCUAACUACGGUACAAUUUCUUCCUAUUUUUUUUUUUUUUUUGGACAGGCAGAGUUUAGACAGAGAGAGAGAGAGAGAGGUCUUCCUUCCGUUGCUUCACCCCCCAAAGUGGCCGCUACGGCCAGCGCUGCACCAAUCCGAAGGCAGGAGCCAGGUGCUUCUCCUGGUCUCGCAUGGGCUGCAGGGCCCAAGCACUUGGACCAUCCUCCACUGCACUCCCUGGCCACAGCAGAGAGCUGGCCUGGAAGAGGGGCAACCAGGACAGAAUCCAGCGCCCCGACCGGGACUAGAACCCGGGGUGCCAGUGCCGCAAGGCGGAGGAUUAGCCUAGUGAGCCGCGGCGCCAACACUUAUUUUUAAAAGCAGGUCUGUUCCAAUCUUUCCUUAAUUUUGAGAGUCGCUGGGGGGCGGGGGGGGGGGGGACAGAAAGCGUCUUCCAUCCGCUGGUUCUCUCCCCAAAUGGCCGCACGGCCAGAGCUGGGCCCAUCCCAAGCCAGGAGCCCGGCACUUCCUCCGGGUGUCCCCCGCGGGCCCAGGGGCCCAAGCUCUCGGACAUCCUCUCACCUCGGCCAGGAGAGCGUCCCAGAGCCCGGCCCCGGCCCCGGCCAGCUGGGCAGCCAGCGGCUACGUCACUAACGGUUCUGGCGUCCAACGUCGCCAGCAACGCCUAACGGCUCAACCGCCGGCCUCGGGCUGCAGGCCCCGGUUAGGCCCGCGGGGACUCCGAGGUGACCCCGGCCCCGGCCAGGCUGCGCUGGGCCCCCGCCGCCCGCCUGCACGGUCAGCGAGCCUGGCCGGCGCCUUCGGCCGCCCGCCGCGGUGCCCUUCCGCCCUCCCUGAGGCUGCGCGUCCCGGGCCGGCUGUGCCUGGACCUGGGGCGGCUCUGGCCGGGCGCAGGGGCUCCGGGCCGCCUCGCAGCCUCGGGCCAGGGGUCCGCGGUCAGCCCGGGCCCCGCGGUCAGCCCCGGCCCCGCGGUCAGCCCCUCUGCCUCCCGGCUUCCUACCGCGCUCGCUUCUGGAAGUCGGAACUCCGGGUUUUUGUGGUUUUUUUUGUUGUUUUUUUCACCCCUAGCAAAACUUCCAUCCCGCCGAAUAUGCUAGCCCUCAAUAUCCUUAUUUUUCCAUCCCACAUUUUCAAGUUUCUCUGAAUCCACAAGCUCUUAAUUAUUGCUAUGAAAUGAGAGAAAGCCCUCCGGAUUUUUUAACAUUUUUUUUUUUUGAAAGGCUGAGUUACAGUGAGUGGUCCUCACCUGCUGGUUCUCUCCCCAAAUGGCGCAACAGCCGGAGCUAGGCGGAUCCAAAGCCAGGAGCCAGAACCUUCUGGGUCUCCCACGUGGUGCAGGAUCCCAAGCACUUGGGCCAUCAUCUGCUGCUUUUCCCAGGCCACAGCAGAGAGCUGAACCAGCAGAUGGCAGAUCUUUGUGAUUUAUUUGGAAGGCAGAGUUGGAGAGAGAGAGACAGACACAGAGAAGUUCCAGGGCUCGCCCUGGCCGAAGCAGGAGCUUUCGUAUCAGCAGCAGGGCGUCAAGUAUUUGGGUCCUCUUCUGCUGUUUUCCCAGGUACAUCAGCAGGGAGCUGGAUUGGAAGUGGAGAAGCUGAGGCUGGCAUUGUGGCAUAGCAGGUAGAGCCACCGCCUGUGAGGCCCGCAUCCCAUAUGGGUGCAGGUUUGGAUCCAGGCUGCUCCCCUUCCAGUCCAGCACCCUGCUAAUGGGUGGGAAAAGCAGCAGAAGAUGGUCCAAGUGUUUGAGCCCCUGCCACUCACAUGGGAAACCUGGAAGAAGCUCCUGGCCUCUGGCUCCUGGCUCCUGGCUCCUGCCUGGCCCAGCGCUAGCCAUUUCUGCUAUCUGGGGAGUAAACCAGUUAAUAGAUGAUCUCUUUCUCCUAUCGAUCACUCUUGACUUUCAUAUAAACACAUUAAUCUUUAAAAAGACAGCUGGGAUUCAAACUUGCCCACAUACAGCAGUAAAUUUGAUGAACACCAGUGAUAUGGAGCUCCAGGGGUCACAGGAUACUGCAGUGGGAUACUCGGACAGAGAGGCGGGACACCAAGGCUCUUAACAGGAAAGCAGGCAGGCUCAGAGGAGUCUGUCUCCAGAUCCUGGGCCCUGGGCAAAGCAGGGCAUUGUCUUACAUACACUGGCACAAACAACGGUAACUUUCCUAAUACACAUUUGAUUGCAUACGUCUUGACUGGAUAGUUAGAGCUAUAGCAACGCUUACACCUGCAUACAUUAGAAUCCCCGCAGUUGACCUAGUUCUCUUGAGCUAUUUCUCAGAAAGCCCCUUCCACUCCCUGUUCCCAGAACUCCUCUAAGGCUUUUGCAUUUAGCCAGUGUUUUCUACCUUAGGGGAGGGGUCCCUGCCACAUUACCUUUUCUCUGGAAAGAAUUUACCCUCAACCUUGGGGUUUGAUGACACAUGGAGGUUAGUCCUGGUCCUGGGAGGUCCUAGGUUUGUGGGGCAGAGCCUUCUGCUGGCAAGGAGUCUCCUUGUUGAAUCCAGGGUUCCAAGUAGGUGGGUCUCUUGGACAGGAAUGUAAAUGCAGAAGCUCUGGUAGGGUCAUCCUCUACUGUGUGGAUGGAGAAGUAGAGAAAACCGGACUAUAGAGAAGAUGAGAGACAGAAUCCCGAUGGCUUUUCUAUCCCGUGUUCUUGUCUGCUAGGGAACAGAGGGCCUCUUCAAAACAACAUGUAUGUAGCUAAGGUACCUGUGAAACCUCUAACAGGAACUCCUCAUAUCUGGCUAUCUCGGAGACUUCUUGGAAAAAAACAUCUUGCUUUGUCUGUAUCCUACCCCUGAGAACCUUGGCCCUGGCUGGUACAGUUUUUUCUGUGGCUGAUAUUGAAGGACCCCCAAAAGUGGUGCCCUUUUGUGAUGACCCCAGAAACACAGACUCCAGACCAGGCGAUGCAAAAAGCAAGAGGCAGUUUUUAUUCCAUUUGCGCAAAUGGGCCCUCUGCUGCCGCAAGCAGCGAGAAAGAGAGGAGCCCCGAGCCCCGAUUACACGCAGUAUUUAAAGCGAAAAGCCACAAAAUUAUCAUAGAUUAACAUUCUACUUGGUGUACACAGCUCAUUGGAUAAUUUUCAGCAAUUGACCUAAUAUGGCAGUUUGGGAGCGGGUAGGGAAGCAUAGUCAGUGGAAAAGUACUAGGUCGAAAGGGCAUGCCGGGGGAGGGGGGGGUCGCUUGAGGAAGAGAAGCGGGCUGCUACAUGCCGUACGUGCCUUGCGGUUUUCUUUGUUCAGCUUGAGCAAGCACGGGGGAGGGGACCCAUGUACAUAACAGGAUGUUCUGGUGCCCAUAUCUCCAAGUAAUAUUUAACCGCUCCUCUGAGAACCAGUUUACUUCCUUAAUUCCCAGGACCUGCAUUGUCUAGGGGGCUUUUUGCGGGGGGUCUCACAAUAUCUGCAAACACAAGACCCACAAGACACAGUUCAUUGUUAGCUUGAGCUCAUACAACGGAAGCCCAUCCUCCACGUCUUGUGGCCCUUCCUCUGUGAAGUAAAACUGUGUCCCUCCCUUUCCCAUCCCCUUUCCGCAGCCUCGUGGGGCUGUUGCAUCUUGAGGCGCAACCCAUUCUGUAUGCAGCAAGACUUUGCCUAUGUGUUGCUCGUAAUCAGCCUUGGUUGUCCUGAGUACUUUGGCCCGCCGAGUACCUAUCAAUGCCAUCAAAGCCUGGCUGUGGGUCUGUUCCCGGUCUCCCAUGAGCGACUUUUAGUCUAUUUUCAGCUACCUACAAGCUCUGUAAUUGAUAAACACCUGUCCUCUCUUCCUUGGACAACUUCCUUUUCAUGGCAAUUUCCACUAAACCCACCAUUUGGCAAUCACCAUCACAUUUUAGAAUACACACACCCUUUAAUGCUGUAUAUUUUUCUCUCUUAGGUGUUUAAUUUAUAGACCUAGAAGAACAAGAUGAAGAUAUUUCACUGCAACAACGUUUAUAAUAGAAAACAGGGAGAAAUGUAUCAUGUAUGCUGCUGGACGCCCAGCGUAGUAAAGACACGAUCGCUGCUUGCUCGGUUCUCAUGGAACUUUAUUCGUCCAGAUGCAAGAUAAAGGUGCCAAAGUAACUCAAAGUGGGAAAGAAGCGUCUUCAACAAGCAAUACUGAAAGUGGGGGGAAAAUAUGAGCAAAAAAUGAAACUGGAAGGUUUGGAACACCUCUACAUUCAAGUUUUUCUUAGCCCCCAGGAAGAAGACAGAGAAAGGAGAUGGAGACCAACCUCACCAGAGACAGGCAUUGUCAAUAGAAGCAUUGGCCUACCAAGAUCUCUGCAGGGGUUGACCCUGUGGGGAAUCCCACAGGAGUCCCAAAGACGAGUCAUGGAUCACCGCUUACCGCACAACUAAUAGGAGGUGGACCAUGGAGAAAUUCAUGGUAGUCCUAAAUGAGUUACAGAGCACCGCUAACCACAAAUAAACUACAAUAAGAAUGGAGUUACUUAUGCUAAGGUAGGAGCUGAUGACACCACGUGUGCUAAGUUUAGUGUCUGCCAAGAAAAACAUCUCAGACUGAACAGAUGCCUCUGGACUUGUGUCCUAAGGACGCUAAUUUCAAGUCCUCCCGAUAAUAGCAUGGCGAUUGAGAGCACCGGACAGAGCUCAUACUCCCUGUCCUAGACAGCAGACUGGUGGCGCCUGGGAAAUUCCAGGACGCGGCUGAUUGACACCCGGACCCCCACCAGGGGCCUUUUUCCCUGGAGUGGCAAGGAUGAAAGGAGAGCUCUUUUCACUGCUCCCCAUCCCCUCAGGGUGAACCUCUGGAUCUCCACAUGUCUAGAGCUGAAAAGCCAGCCUGUUGCUCUGUAACAGCACAAGGCGACUAGGGAACAAACUCCAUCAGAGCCAAUGCCUCGACACCUCUCAUCAGCCUGCUGCCAGACCCAACGGCAGAGCUGGACCAGACCUCUCAGCAGGGGACCUCUCCAGCUCCUCACCUCGAAGUCAGCCUGGGAACUUCGAGCCUGCUGCCCAGAGUGACUUCCUGCCUGCAAGUGACUGUUCUGAGAUCCGUCUCUCCAGGUGGUAACGGAGACUUCAGACUCUGGACGUUGGACUUUGACUUUUCAUGACCGUGAUAGGAACCUUGAGAAUGCAGCAUUUAUAAUAUUAGCCAUGUGUAAUAUGAAGAAAUGUACCUCGACCCUACGAUUAAGAAUAAUGCCAUAUGCUUUGCUGUACUUAGAUUACUAUUAUUGGAUUGCCUUUGAGACUGCUUCGAUGCUAGGUGUGUGUUAAGAUCUGUGGAUUAAUGAAUGUAACUGUAUAGAUUGGUAUGCAGAGUAGUGAAGCCCUAGUGUGAAUUGGUAUGAGGAAUCAAAACCUUUCAUUGGAAAGACAGUCGUGUGUCCGUGUGUUCCUUCUUCCCUGUACUCCGACGCGUUGCCCUUAAGCCCUGUCAAGCUGUGUGACCGUAGGUGCUGGCAACAGACCCACUUUUUCUUAAAAAGCUUUAUGGAGCCUAUGGCCUCUGCCACUGUCUCACAAAAGUGGCCAUCCAUGGUUCAUACAUGAAUGAGCGUAACUCCGGCUAUGGUUUUGAUAUGGCUUGAGGGUGUCCCCAAGAGUGCAUGGGUUGGGAGGUUGGUCCCCAGCGUGUCAUUGUUGGGAGGUGGUGUAGAACCUUGAAGAGGUGGUGCCUAGGAGGAAGUAAUUAGGUCACCAAAGGCACUGCCUUUAGAAGGAAUUGAUGUGGUUCUCAUAGGACCGCAGUUUUCAGGGACGCUUUUUACAGAAGAGCAAGACUGGCCUCUUCCCAGUCUCCUGGCUUCCUGUCUGGCCUUCUGAUCUCUUCCUUUCACAUGCACUCCACUCCACCCUGAUGAGUCACAGUCAGGGGCAGGGUGAGGGGUGUUUUGACAGAGCUGGCACCACACUGUUUGGGCUGUUUGGACUGUUAGCCCCUCAAACUGCAAGGUAAAUAGAUUGUUUUAUAAACUACUCAGCCUCUUGGAUUUUGCUGUAGAAAUGGAAAACACUAAUAUGCAUACAGCUUUGUUGCAGUAGAAUUGUAUGUAUCAAAACAGGUGGUCAGCCCUGAUCACUUGCGUCCCGUAGGUCAUAGAAGUCCUUACCAAACUUUUAUAUCUCUCUGGGAACCUUUUACACUUCUCAAACAUGUCCUUUCUGUUGGAGAUACUGCUCAUCAGUUUAUAACAAGCAAUUCUGAUAGCUAGGUACCAUUCUGCUUGGUACAAUAUCAAACGACAUUAAGCAUUAUCUUAACUGCCUAUGUUCCUGAGAUCAAGAUUCUGGAUCUAUUAAGUGUAAGAGCUCAGACCAGCAGUGAGUAAAUUUAUUGAAGUUCUAGUUUCUCUUUGUUGGACACUUUUUAACUGUGUCAGUUAAGUUUUCCCAGAAAACAAAACCAAUAGAAUAUUAUAUAAAUUAUUGUACAUAGAACAUUUCUUUGAUUUUUGAUGGGGUUACAUCCUGAUAGACCCAUCCUAAGUAAAAAAUAUCUAGGUUGAAAAUGCAUUUAAAAUACCUAACCUGGGGCAGGUGUUUGCCAUAGCGAUUAAGUCACCACUGAGGAUGGCUACAUGCUAUACCAGAGUGUCCAGCUUAAGUCCCAGCUACUUUGCUUUCAACCAGCUUCCUGCCAAUGUGUACACUGGGAAAUAACAAAUGAUGGGUCAAUGACUUGGGUCCCUGCUGCCCACAUGGGAGACUCAGGUUGAUUCUUGGCUCCUCACUUUGUCCUCGCCCAGCCCUAGUUGUUGCAGGCAUUUGAGAUGUGAACCAGUGGAUGGAAGAGCUCUCUUUGUCUCUCUGCCUUUCAAAUAAGAUUAAAAUUAAUAAAAACAAAUUUAAAAUAAGAGCUGAGAUUUUGAACCACCUAACAAAUAAACACCUAAACUACUCUGUAUCAUCGCUUAGUAACAGUCCACUGUAGUAUACUGAUUGUCUCCUCUUAAGAUCAUGUGACUGGCUGGGAGCAGUAGCUCACUGCUACUGCCCAGCAUCAGAGACAGUAUCAUCCCCCACAUUGCUAGCCUGGGAAAAAAUCAGACUUCAAAGUACUGUUUCUACUGAAUGCACGUCACUUUUGCACCAUUACAAAGUGGAAAAAUCAUAAGGUGAACUAUUUUAAGUGGGGGACCACCUAUAUAGUACACAUAGUAUCUUUAUAUACAUAUAUUGCAUACAUACAUAGUAUAUAUAGAGAGAGAUUACACACAUACACACACACACACAAAUGAAGAGGUUUAUUUUCUGAAAGCUGCUGGGCAGGUAAGCAAGCCAGAAAUCAGGCAGGACUUCUGUGUUACGGUCUUGGGACAAACGUCCUUCUCAGGAAAGCUGUGUUUGCUCUAAAGGCUUUAAACUAAAUGGAUGAGACUCAUCUUCAUUAUAAGAGUAAUCUCCUUAAAGUCAAUUGAUUUUAGAUGUUAAUCACAUCUACAAAAUACAUUCACAGCAAUAUCUAGAAUGUAUGUUUGGAGCACUAUAGUCUUGCCAAAUCAAUAUAUAAAAUUUAAUAUCACAAUAAUCAGAUAAAGGUGUCAAAAAUUCAUUAAAAUUGAAUUGAAAGAUGUUUCAGUGUAAAAAAUGAAAAAUAUGUGCAUAAUUGUUUCCUAAUCUGCAUUGUCAUAAACUUUUUUGAAGUACCCUCAUACUUUAACAAUAUAUAUUAA